rnacentral:rRNA from 1 species
CAGCAGCCGCGGGAAUACAGAGGGUGCGAGCGUUAAUCGGAUUUACUGGGCGUAAAGCGUGCGUAGGCGGCUUCUUAAGUCGGAUGUGAAAUCCCUGAGCUUAACUUAGGAAUUGCAUUCGAUACUGGGAAGCUAGAGUAUGGGAGAGGAUGGUAGAAUUCCAGGUGUAGCGGUGAAAUGCGUAGAGAUCUGGAGGAAUACCGAUGGCGAAGGCAGCCAUCUGGCCUAAUACUGACGCUGAGGUACGAAAGCAUGGGGAGCAAACAGGAUUAGAUACCCGUGUAGUCCCUGUCUCUUAUAC